CGGGGCGUAGCGCAGUCUGGUAGCGCACCUGAAUGGGGUUCAGGUGGCCGCCGGUUCAAAUCCGGCCGCCCCGA
rnacentral:tRNA from 1 species